rnacentral:rRNA from 1 species
GUCUGAAUAUGGGGGGACCAUCCUCCAAGGCUAAAUACUCCUGACUGACCGAUAGUGAACCAGUACCGUGAGGGAAAGGCGAAAAGAACCCCGGCGAGGGGAGUGAAAAAGAACCUGAAACCGUGUACGUACAAGCAGUGGGAGCACGCUUAGGCGUGUGACUGCGUACCUUUUGUAUAAUGGGUCAGCGACUUAUAUUCUGUAGCAAGGUUAACCGAAUAGGGGAGCCGAAGGGAAACCGAGUCUUAACUGGGCGUUAAGUUGCAGGGUAUAGACCCGAAACCCGGUGAUCUAGCCAUGGGCAGGUUGAAGGUUGGGUAACACUAACUGGAGGACCGAACCGACUAAUGUUGAAAAAUUAGCGGAUGACUUGUGGCUGGGGGUGAAAGGCCAAUCAAACCGGGAGAUAGCUGGUUCUCCCCGAAAGCUAUUUAGGUAGCGCCUCGUGAAUUCAUCUCCGGGGGUAGAGCACUGUUUCGGCAAGGGGGUCAUCCCGACUUACCAACCCGAUGCAAACUGCGAAUACCGGAGAAUGUUAUCACGGGAGACACACGGCGGGUGCUAACGUCCGUCGUGAAGAGGGAAACAACCCAGACCGCCAGCUAAGGUCCCAAAGUCAUGGUUAAGUGGGAAACGAUGUGGGAAGGCCCAGACAGCCAGGAUGUUGGCUUAGAAGCAGCCAUCAUUUAAAGAAAGCGUAAUAGCUCACUGGUCGAGUCGGCCUGCGCGGAAGAUGUAACGGGGCUAAACCAUGCACCGAAGCUGCGGCAGCGACGCUGAUGCGUUGUUGGGUA